UUGAAAAACUAUAGUUGGAAAGAUAAGAGAAAAAUUGUAAUGGAUUCAAAGGAUUUACACAUGUGUAUAUUUGGAAGGAAGCAUGAAAUAUUUGAUAUAUUAAAAAAUGGGCUUUCUUCAUAGAUCUGUUAGGUAUUAUUUUGGCUUAUCACUCAUGUAUUUUCCAAUAAAUGCACAUUUUCUUGUUCUAUCGAACUAUAGACACUCUCACAUAACAAUGUGAGUGCCACCUAUCUCACUCACAAUCCUGUAUAUCACUCUCAAAUGAAACCCAUAUCCAAUGAAAAUCAUUUUGUUCAUGACAUGAUCAUAUAUUUGAUAUGGAAACCUCAACGCCUCUAUCAAAGGCCCAUCAUCAACAUUUACGAAACAAGAUUGGUUUCAUUGAUGGGACUUCAAUAUUGCGGGGACAUGUAAGAUCAACCACUUACUUCAUCUCCUUUGAUCAAGCCUUCAUACAUGUGC
rnacentral:lncRNA from 1 species